rnacentral:antisense_RNA from 1 species
CUUCAUCGACCCGAGCAGUGCGGGGUGUUCGGUGGAUCGGCCCUGGCCGUAGGUGGCGAGCAGGGCCUGUGCCUC